UUCAUUUCAGAUCGUUUGCAUUGGCAUGUAGUCGAUUCAGGUCGAGUAAACGCGGUGAUCUUGAAAUAAGACCGCUCGACCCGUCCGCUCCACGCGGAACCCUCCCCUUUUCCGGCCUCUGUCGCUGCCGGCGUCGUUGUCGAUGUCGGACUGUUGUUUUCAGACCCAGUGGCGGCGCCGUGCGUGCGGGAUCUCUUGCGCGAAUCUUAGGAAUUGAUCGCCUGCGGCUACCCCACGUGACCGAUCUAACCAUGAGCUUGACUCCGGAUGAGUUUGCUGUAGCUGCCAGGGACUUUGCUUCUAUAUCCCAUUCUCUUGAUGAUGGCUGGCAACUGUACGAUGGCCAUGAGAUCGGUACUGGGAACCCCGCAAAUGUUUACCUUGUUAAGAAGGUUAUAAAGGAAAAAAGUACUUCGGUUCGUACUCGACAUAGGGAAGCCGACGAAAUCACCGAUCCUCAAGAAGCACCGCUACAGGCCAAUGGCGACCUCCUUUGCUGGGAAUACAACGUCGCCUACAGCUUAUCGUUCGAAGCGCCCGCCCUCUACUUUGAUAUUUGCUAUUCAAACGGGGAAACUCUUUCGCUAGAGGACGUUUGGUCCGCGUGUUGCUCCGAGGGUAAGGUACUGGAUCUAGAAUUGAAGGAUAUGUGGGGCACCGUUACACGACAGGAACAUCCGAUAAUUCGGCGACCGUACUUCGUGCUCCACCCAUGUAACACUCACGAGAUCAUGGGACCCCUGCUUAAGGCCCAAGGCGAGCGAAGUGCAUUCAAACGAUUGACAACGGUCUUCUCGCACACUCCUAGCUGUAUAGAAAGCUCUCGGGUCGACUGCGCUUCAUUUUGUUUAAGGAGUGCCCACAGUGCAUCGUCGUUCGCUUCUUAUGGUCGCCCAGAACGUGGUUUGUCGUUCAAGUUGAAAUCUCCGCUUCUAAAGCGAUUAAUUAAACCAAAACUGACAAGUGGUAAAGGUUACUGCACGAUCGCCUUCGACUGCGCAAACAAUUCUUUGUGUCUCGGCAACACUUUUCCAGCACGAAAAUAGUGAAGAAGACAACGCCGAAUAUGCAUCUCUUCGAGCUCCGUAUCAAGUACCGAGUCACCACUUUUACCGACAACGACUGACUGAAAACAACAGAACACACACGUCUGAUGGUUGAAACAAAAAUCCUGGAAAAUUUCAGCGAGGCACGAGCAGCCGAUUUCAUGCUAGCGCCGUCUGUUGGCUCCAACGGAAACUUUUCACACAGUCAGUUUAAUAGCAGUCAAACGUACAAGGAUCAAUUACCUGAUUACGUGGCUUUCUUCGGUAGGCCCUGCCGUAGGACUACGCCUCUCUAUUGGUUACAACAAGGGCACUAAAAAG